rnacentral:rRNA from 1 species
CGCGUAGGCGGUUUCGGAAGUUAUGGGUGAAAGCCCCCGGCUCAACUGGGAAUUGCCUGUAAAACCACGGAUCUGGAGUGCUGGAGAGGGAAGUGGAAUUCCCAGUGUAGCGGUGAAAUGCGUAGAUAUUGGGAGGAACACCAGUGGCGAAGGCGGCUUCCUGGACAGACACUGACGCUGAGGCGCGAAAGCCAGGGGAGCGAACG